rnacentral:rRNA from 1 species
CAGUCGCCGCGGUAAUACGUAGGGUGCGAGCGUUAAUCGGAAUUACUGGGCGUAAAGCGUGCGCAGGCGGUUUUGUAAGACAGGCGUGAAAUCCCCGGGCUCAACCUGGGAAUGGCGCUUGUGACUGCAAAGCUAGAGUGCGGCAGAGGGGGAUGGAAUUCCGCGUGUAGCAGUGAAAUGCGUAGAUAUGCGGAGGAACACCGAUGGCGAAGGCAAUCCCCUGGGCCUGCACUGACGCUCAUGCACGAAAGCGUGGGGAGCAAACAGGAUUAGAUACCCGCGUAGUCCCUGUCUCUUAUAA